rnacentral:tRNA from 1 species
UGUCCAAAGUUGGGAAUCGAACCCACAGUGUUCCGAUUACCGGACAGAUGCCAUGUCCACUAGGCUACCCUGGAC